CAUUAUAUGUUACAUAUACUACAUAAUUUCUUUUCAUAGUGAAAAGGUUCCUUAACAAUGCAAGGGAGACAACCCUAUUUUGGAUUCUUUGACCAGGCGGCCACAUUAGGGUGAAUUAUACUUGCAUAUACAUGUUGGGUAAAGCACAAAGUGGAGACAAUCUGAUGACCAGUGAACACUUACAGUCUUGGAUGAAAAUAGGAAAAGAAUGUCAUCCAAAAGGCAGCCUUUGUUGAAAUAAUUAUUAUGUUGGCACUGUAAGUACAUGCUGGGUUUCUGAUGUCUUCAUACCUCCAGAUAAUUGGAUUCUCAAACGUAACAGCAAGAAAUGGAAAAUCCAUGUUGUUUUAAGGAAAACAGAGCAACAAGAAAAUCAUGUACAAGAGCCUAUGAAACAAAACAGAAAAGUAAAAUUGUGACAGGCAUAUGGAUUGAGAAGUUACAUAUGUAAUCAGUGGAAGGGAGACAACUCAUAUUUUGAUCCCUUGACCAGCUAUCCAGACAGAUUUUAUAAUCCAUGUUAUUAUGAAAUGUGAAGAAAGUACAGUUUCAGAUGGCAUUUUUCAGACAGAAGUUUGUGUUGGAAUGAUGGUGAUCUCUUCUGUCAGUAACAGAAUG